rfam:Taenia asiatica genome assembly, scaffold: TASK_contig0000296
GUGGGCUAUGGAGACAUGCAUCCAAAAACGACGCUAGGUAAAUUCGUUGGGUGCUUGUGUGCCGUUGCUGGAGUUCUCACAAUUGCACUCCCCGUCCCUGUGAUUGUUUCCAAU